rnacentral:rRNA from 1 species
AUCAGUAUGCCGCGUGUGUGAGAAGGUCUUCGGAUUGUAAAGCACUUUCAGUGGGGAGGAAGGCAGAAGUUAAUACCUUGCUGUUUUGACAUUACCAACAGAAUAGCACCGGCUAACUUCGUGCCAGCAGCCGCGGUAAUACGAAGGGUGCAAGCGUUAAUCGGAAUUACUGGGCGUAAAGCGCGCGUAGGUGGUCCAGCAAGUUGGAUGUGAAAUCCCCGGGCUCAACCUGGGAACUGCAUCCAAAACUACUGAGCUAGAGUACGUAGAGGGUGGUGGAAUUUCCUGUGUAGCGGUGAAAUGCGUAGAUAUAUGAAGGAACACCA